UGCAGUCGACGCUAAUUAGAGGGUAGCAAUAUUCUCUAGUUGGAGUGGCGCAAGGGUGCGUAACACGUGGGUAAUCUGCCGUGAAGACUGGGAUAACUCGCUGAAAGGCGAGCUAAUACCGGGUAAGACUGUUAGUGGGCAUCCACUGACAUUGGAAGCUGGGGACCUGAAAGGGCCUGGCACUUCACGAUGAGCCCGCGGCCUAUCAGCUAGUUGGUGAGGUAACGGCUCACCAAGGCUAAGACGGGUAGCUGGUCUGAGAGGACGACCAGCCACACUGGAACUGAGACACGGUCCAGACACCUACGGGUGGCAGCAGUCGAGAAUUUUUCACAAUGGGCGCAAGCCUGAUGGAGCGACGCCGCGUGGGGGAUGAAGGGUUUCGAUCCGUAAACCCCUGUCAUUUGCGAACAAACCUUGGAUGAUAACACCAUCCGAGCUGAUUGUAGUGAAAGAGGAAGGGACGGCUAACUCUGUGCCAGCAGCCGCGGUAAUACAGAGGUCCCAAGCGUUGUUCGGAUUCACUGGGCGUAAAGGGUGCGUAGGUGGCCAGGUAAGUUUGGUGUGAAAGCUCGGAGCUUAACUCCGAAAAGUCAUUGAAUACUAUCUGGCUGGAGGGUCGGAGGGGAGACUGGAAUUCUCGGUGUAGCAGUGAAAUGCGUAGAUAUCGAGAGGAACACCAGUGGCGAAGGCGAGUCUCUGGACGACUCCUGACACUGAGGCACGAAAGCUAGGGGAGCAAACAGGAUUAGAUACCCUGGUAGUCCUAGCUGUAAACGGUGCACGUUUGCUGUAAGAGGAAUCGACCCCUUUUGUGGCGAAGCUAACGCGAUAAACGUGCCGCCUGGGG
rnacentral:rRNA from 1 species